CCUCGCCCCUGUGGUUCUUGUUAAUCUUCUGGAAUCUCUAACACUCUCUCGGUUUCAAGAAGCCUUCAGAACUCAUUCAGUCACUCAGUUGAUCCAGUUAGUGUUUUUUAAGGUCUGCAAGCUCCUGUGCACAGCUAUGUGCCUGAGAGGGGCAGAAGCAUGAAAUACAUCCUUCCACUUCAUGACAGAGAGACCUCGAGCUUCUCUGGGCAUGUGGAGACUGCGCCUGCUGCCUGAGGAUCUUUCAAAAGAGUGAGAAGGUGGUGUUCUCAGGCCAGGAAGAGAGUGCUCACCAGAACUCAGCCAUGCUGGCACCUUGGUCAAGGACUUCCAGCCUUGAGAACUGUGAGAAAAUAAAUUUAUGUUCGUGCAGCCACCCCAUCUUGGUAUUUUGUCAUGGCAGUCUGCACUGACUUGUACCCUGGUCUGGUGGCAAAGCCCCACUGGCAUUCAAACUUCUACUUAGUUUUACUUACCACUUUGACUUAUAUUUUCAUUCAUCCAAAAAGUCACAUGACCAAGAUUGAAAUUAAAGGGUCAGGAAAAUAUAAUCCUCCCUCAGGGCCAGAAACACCUCGGACAGUUCACGCCAUGCACUGGAGUCGGGAGGCGGUUUGUCAGUGCCGGUGCAGACGAAUAGCUGCGCCUGGUUAGCAACCCCAAUGUGGCCACACACCUAAGCUGCCUCCUCUGAUACAGGUUGAUCGGUAAUUAAACUGUUAUUUUUAUCUUAAUUUAUUUCCUCUGAGCUCACAGGAGGACGAGCACUUUAUGUUGAUCUCCUCAAAUCCAGACAUUGUGGUGCAGAGACUGAGCAGAGGACUAGCAGCAAGGAGAGAGCUAGAGGGAAGGAGGAGGAAAUCUCUCCUCCCUGUGUUUCGGCUGAGUAGCCAGCUGUCUCACUGGUGCUUUUUUUUUUUUCCCUAGAGAAUCUCUAUAAGGUGGGUGUUAUUUUCAAUUAACAAGGCAGGAAAUAGAGGCUCAGGGCCUUUAUGUAAUCUGCUGAAGGUGCAAAGGAAUCCCCGCCUGCCUGCAGCUGUCCAAGCCUGCAUUAGCCGGGAGGUUAAUAAGGACCAAGGAGCGGUAAACUGGUGAUCGUAUCCUCCUCUCCUGGGUGCUUGAUGUCAGCAUCUGAGUUAGGUAUCUCAAGGAGAAAAGAGUCCUACACGUUUUACUGCUCUAUUCACUUAUCUAGUCCACAUCCAUCAAUCUAUUUAUUCAUGAAUCCACCCACUUAUUUACCCAAUAAUGAUUCAUUGAGCAUCAGCUGUAUGCUGGACAUGAAAGUAACUUCUUAGAUUAUGACAACAUACGUGGAUCUCUGCUUGCAUGGCCUACCCACUCUCAGGGAAGGCCGAUGUUGACCAGAUAUUUGCAAAUGUGACGAAUCCUGCAAAAGAGUGCAGGUCACAAGAACUAAUUCCAUCUUGUAAAUCAGGGAGAGCUUCUCAGAGGACAAGGUGUUUGAGCUGAAAUCUGACCGGUGAGUCCCAUCUGAGUAGCUGACUUCCCUUCCUGCUCCCCUCAGGCUCCGCAUUCCUCUGAUAAGUCAUACUUAAGGACAAGGAUUGGAAUGUUCUAGUGAAUCUGAAGUCCCUUCUGGCUCUCAGCCACUCUCCACAGGGCUACAAGGAAGCUGUCAAGAGAGGAUUUCACAGGUUGAGUGAGGAGUGACUUCCCCUCCAAAGUGUUCAGUGUGCCUCUCAGGGACACUGGGGUGGGGAUAGUGUGGAGAAGAGAGCAAGUAGCCAAAUUAAAAUAGAAUUUAAUAUUAUUCCAGAGCUUCAAGUUUCCCUUAAAAGAUUCCCUGGGCAUUCCCUCCAUCCUCUCGGCCACCCUGUGCCAGACCAGCUUCUACUGCGGAUCUCCAGCUCCCCAUCGCUUCCUCCCAGCUGCCUGCACUCCUCUUUGGCCCUGUUGGGAACCCCUUCAGGAACGCCUGGCGCCCUGUGCCUGCUUCUGUGGAAGCUCCUCUCCAUGUGGGCAGAACAGUAAUGUCAUCUGGGGAGCUCUGAGGAAAUGAUGGCUCCCAGGUCCCACCUCUAGAGAUUCUGACUCAAAUAGUGUGGGAUGAACCCUGGGGAUGAUUUACUUUAAAAAGCUGCCCAAGAGAGUCUUAGGUGCUUCCAAUGUUUGGAUUAACCAGUCUGCUGAAAUACUUCUCAACUUGUUUUGCAAAAUCCUGCUUAUUUAACAGAAGCUCUCAGAGGGAAGGGGUCACAUGCCUCCACCUCUUGGAUUGAGAGCUGUUGGAACACAGCGGGUGCCUGACUAAUAUCCACUGAAAGUCGGAUGAAUGAUGAGGACUGACAUCUUUCUCUGGUGCCCCCAGUGACGCCACUGUCCAGGGGCACACCUCGUUUGGACUGCAUCUUGAGAAGGAAGGCCAAGAGAGCCUUUUCUGGAAGACUCUCUUCUUCCAGACCCCUAAUCCCUGCAGGCUGAGACCAGUGCCCUGUCCCUGUGGUCUGCCCAUGCUCUGCCUUCAGCUCUGAUGCAGAAUAUGGACUACAGCUAUGUGAGCCUAAUGAUUAUUAAUUCACAGUGAUAUCAAUCUGCAUGGUUAUGUCAUUUUCUCUAUCAAUUCCAAGCAGUCUGUGUGAAGGGCUGACCAAAAGAUGUUUGCCAUGAUUCCAGUUUCUCAGGUGCCAGCUUUAUCUUCGUGCCUUACUGUACAACAAGCACUUGAGUCUUUCCAGCAUGUAAGGUGCAAGUCUGAGCACCAUGCGAAUAAAAACUGCAGCCAAGAGAGAAUCACCUGUCCACUGUGACUCCACACCUACUAAUUCAUUAAAUCUCUGCAACGGCUUGCAAGGGGAGAUCUUGUCUGAGGAAGGACCCAAUAUGGAGAAGACUGAAGUAAGAGAUGGAGAGAAAGUAACCAGGUUCUGUCCCUGAUCAAGCCAUGCCUGAAAGCAGUCUUUGGAAUAUUUAGUUACAUGAGACUGUUGCAUAACUCAUUUUGGAUCAGGAUUUCUAUCAUUUGCAACUGAAAGAGUCUUAACUGAGAUAGUCAUCAACCUUCUGAUUAUUAUAGUGGCUUUUCCUAUAUCUCAAGGAUGUCUUGGAGAAAAACCACCGUGCCUUUAGGGGAACUGAAACGCAGCCGCGUCUGCUCUUAGGAGCACGUAAUGGGUUCCAGCAUGGCUUCCUCAGUGCCUGGCGGAUAACCUAGGAGAAGCUGAAAGGGAUGUCUCCGUCGGGUGCAUGACUAAGAGCCCAGCUCUUCCUGUGAGUCAGCCCAGCCUUCGCGGCUGCGUUAACUACCGCAAGUAAAGAGCUUCACAGGGUUCAGUGAGACAUAACUCAGACACGCUGGAGUCGGCUCGGCAGGUGAGCCCAGCAGGUGUAGCAGAUGUGUUCUCCGGAUCCAUGCUCUUCUCUGAGGCAGACGUAGCUGUCCCAUUUGUUAUUUUAAAUGAAAAGCCAUUUAGAAAAGAAAAUGUCUUAUUUACAUGCCUAGAUUAUGUGUCUUCACCUCUUAUUUACGCAUUCCUGUAGUCAGCCUCCAAAACAUGACUCCAUAACCCUUAGUUUAUGUAGGAAAGAUAAACAAACAAAUUCCCUGGAUGUGUUCUGUAAUAUUCUUUCAGAGAUUAUUUACUAAGCAACUUACAUGUGCCAGAUCUCUGAAAGGGACUGUGAUUUGAAAAUAAGAAAUAUAACUGCUAAUCUCAAAGAGCUCAGAGUCUGGUGUGUUUGUGUAUGGGUAUGUAAAACAGAAACAAACAAAUAAAAA